GUCGCUCUUGACAGGUGAUAGCAGCUGCUGGGGGAGCAUGUUCCUCAAGGUUGCUUACACAGAAGGAGUGAGAAGACGAACGGCUGCCACACUCUGGCAACGGCCCGUGCCUUUAAUCUCGUCUCGGCCAUCUUUACCCUUCACACGAGGCCGCCUUCGAAAGCAUCAUCAACUGGGAUGACCUUCGAUAAAGUGGAUUACUGCAUGCGGAAAACAUCACAGCCAAGAACACGCAAGGUGGAGCCAUGCAUCAAUGCAUAGAUAAAUAAUUUAUUUCUCUUGCAUGUAAUUAGGGUUAAUUAUUCACAACUCAUUCACCAUUAGAGGUGUAUGUCCUCCUACGGUAGAGUAAAUUAAUGUGGGCAUUUUUUUCAAUAUAUUUGUUGUGACAUACAACCGUCACAUAUAUUUUGAUACAGUAUCCAUUCAUCCAUUAUCUGUACCUAUUUGAAAAUACUAAUGACUCGCUAUAAGGUUGACCAAGCUGUCAGAAAAAUAAUCUUCCCAUGGGAAUCCCUCAAAUGGGAAUGUACGGCAAACAUCAAAAACGUUGUACUAAUCUGCUGUUAUUAACUGUGGGUAACUGGAGAUUCCUGAUUAAACAGGGAAUUUAGUGCAAUGAGGACAUUGCAUUGGAUCCGUAACCAGACCGUACUUGGUGUUGAAACCAUACGAGGAAACGCGGUCGUAAAUAUGAAACAGGUUAAAACCUACGACUGUUAAAUCAAACGUUUUUUGAGCAUAUCAGCUCAGAAAAAAAAUAUUCAAUACACUCUAAACACAAAUCUGAGUCAAUCACAGGAGAGCAACCAACAGAAAUAGCCGACUGGAUAUGUUUGAGCAAAGUGUAGUUAAUGUCUUAAAAGUUUUAACUACCAAUAAAACAAAAACAGGUCUAAAACUGAUGAGAUACCAGCACAAGCGUCACAUUUCAAUAAUGUGCUUAGGGUGUGAUGCCCAUUCAAUAAAGUGUAAAUCCACUGUCUUUUGCAAGUUGAAUUGCAUUGUCUGCACAAGCUGCUGACCUCUAAGUCAAGUCUUUAGUGAGUCAACAUGAUCAUUUUGCUAGCUCCUUUCCACCAGCUGAAACCUUAGCCCCUCUCAGGGCUGAGGUUUUCUGGGAUGUUUCCAGUCUAGCCGCCAGCCAGCGGGCUCAUACUGGGCCCGCCAGAGCCGAGGCGGCGAUCCAGUUACGCUUCAGUAUGUUGCAUUACAGCCCCCCGCCCCGAAAAAGAGCACAUUCGGUUGCGCUAAUCAGCGCUAAUGCUAUUGUCAUCGAUAAAGUGUGUGAAACACCAUUCUGGAGCGAUAUUCCUCGAGUCAUUUAGCCCCAUAAUUGACUUUUAAAGCAGUCGGGGCCAUGGAGCGAUACCACAGACCAGGUGGGCUGUGUGGAAAUAUAGCUAUCAUUUCUGUUGAUGUGAUAAAAUGGUAAGAGAGAGAGAAAGAAGAAGCUGGCAGCGUCUUUACUCGCUCUUUACUCAGUAAAUAAUGCAGAAAGCCUCUCUGCUGAGCUCAGAAGGCAGCGUAUUGAUUUUGUCUUAGAUGAGGUCUCUGAAACCUCAUUUACUUCUGUUGUCAUCAUGGCGGAACAUCAGUGUCUGACAAGCUGCACUCCACCCCCUCUGCGUCUGGUCUGGAGGCCAUCUUGGAAACUGUUGAGGGAUGCUAAUGUGCCCGAGCAUUAGCCCAACGUUCCUCAUCCAGUGACGCCGUUGACAGAGUGCUUGCAUGAUAAGAUGCAUGGACUGAGAUAGCCAUGUUGGCGACUGACCAUUGUGCUGUUUAAAUAAAGCUCUGUGUUCAGGCA